rnacentral:lncRNA from 1 species
CUCCUUGAUCCAGGUGCCAGCAGAAGGACACGUAGUUUUGGGGUGAGAACUCACUUCUGUCAGCAGUGGUGGUACUUGGACAAAUGACAUUCUUGGGCAAAUGAUGUGAGGCCAGAAGCCUGAAAAAAAGGAGUCUAAAUGAGUCAGACUGCACUGAGGCUACCUAUUUAUGUGUAUCAUUUCUGGAAAAUCUCUGUGUAUAAUCAGAGUGAUUUUUCUCUUUCAGCAGGAGGAGGAGCUGGCCCUUCAUUACACUUAAAAUGGAGUUUGAUUCCUGGUAGUGGGUCAGUGGUGAUUAUACUGCUCAGAUAAAUGCAGGAAAGGAAGGACUGCCCAUCUGGGCUGACCAUGUGUGAGACACACAGCCCGACAGUGCAAAUGUUCAGAGAAACUAACCACUUUCAGGUUGCAACUUUGAGCCUGCUCUGUGCCAAGCAUCAGGAGUGACUUUUUGUCUUCAAAGCUGGAGAGACAUUUCCCACCAGUGCAGAUGAAGGUGCCUCUUCCCUCCAAGGCCACAGAAGAGCAGAGGGCAGACAGUGAGCUAAGGUCUGUUCUCACUCCUGAAGUGUUGGCCACUGCCAUGGUGUGCUGCAGUGUACGGCAACAAAGAGCAGCCCUGCAGAAUCCGCGUGUGAACAAAGGCGAGAGCGCCGGGUUUGUCCUCGGCAGGUUCCUGCCCACCCCGUCCAUUCAUCAUCUGAAGAGGAAAUCUGAGGAGCAAAAAGACUAUCCCUCUAAGCUCUAACAGAGGUUAGGAAUUUUGAAGUCGGCUGUAUUUUUCCCCAGAGUAUUUCUCUGUCUGGGUCUUUUUCUUGCUUUCUUCCCUCUACCUCUCCUUUCUCUUUUCAUUGUUCCCCUUUCAUUCCCUCUCUCCCUCCUACCACCAGUCUGGGUUUCUUUGUCUUUCCCUAAUAUAUUGCUUCUCCUCCACCCCUGCCCAGGAACUGAGACGAUUUAGUCACCUUGCUUCUUCAGACUC